GAUGAACGCUAGCUACAGGCUUAACACAUGCAAGUCGAGGGGAAACGAUAGAGAAAGCUUGCUUUUUCUAGGCGUCGACCGGCGCACGGGUGAGUAACGCGUAUCCAACCUGCCCACCACUUGGGGAUAACCUUGCGAAAGUAAGACUAAUACCCAAUGACGUCUCUAGAAGACAUCUGAAAGAGAUUAAAGAUUUAUCGGUGAUGGAUGGGGAUGCGUCUGAUUAGCUUGUUGGCGGGGUAACGGCCCACCAAGGCGACGAUCAGUAGGGGUUCUGAGAGGAAGGUCCCCCACAUUGGAACUGAGACACGGUCCAAACUCCUACGGGAGGCAGCAGUGAGGAAUAUUGGUCAAUGGACGAGAGUCUGAACCAGCCAAGUAGCGUGCAGGAUGACGGCCCUAUGGGUUGUAAACUGCUUUUAUAAGGGAAUAAAGUGGGAGUCGUGACUCUUUUUGCAUGUACCGUAUGAAUAAGGAUCGGCUAACUCCGUG
rnacentral:rRNA from 1 species